rnacentral:rRNA from 1 species
GAUGAACGCUAGCGAGACGCUUAACACAUGCAAGUCGAAUGCCAACUUGUUGGCAUGGCAGACGGGUGAGUAACACGUGCUUAAUUUGCCCCGGAGUGGGGGACAACAUCGGAAACGGUGAUAAUCCCGCAUACGUUCCACAAAAUGAAAAUAUGUGGAAGAAAGAUUUAUCGCUCUGGGAGAAGGGCGCGUCUGACUAGUUAGUUGGUGAGGUAAUGGCUCACCAAGACGAUGAUCAGUAGCUGGUCUGAGAGGACGAUCAGCCACAAUGGGACUGAGACACGGCCCAUACCCCUACGGGGGGCAGCAGUGGGGAAUCUUGCGCAAUGGACGAAAGUCUGACGCAGCGAUCUCGCGUGAAGGAUGAAGCUUUGCGGAGUGUAAACUUCUUUUCUGGGAGAAAACGACUGAUGGUAUCUCAGGAAUAAGGGACGGCUAACUACGUG